rnacentral:rRNA from 1 species
CCUGAGAAACCCAAAAGAUCGAAUGGGGAGAUUCAUCGUCAGCUCAUUUUGUAUAUGUAUAAGUUACGAUGCGGGUUACUACUUGUAGUAUUGCCUGCACGUUCUUGUAUAUUUAGUUGCAAGAUGUUGUCGGCGUGCACUUCUUCCCUAGUAGGACGUCGCGACCCGUUGGGUGUCGGUCUACGGCCCAAGUGAUAGCCUUUAAUGUAAUUUAAAAAUCAUUGAAGAUCCUUGGUGUUUUCUGACCGGCUAYUCGGCGGUACUCGUACGGUAUUUAGCCGCUAAUUUAUURGCGUCCAUGUCCGUCACAAGCGAGGCCAAUUUACUGAUAGUGCGGACCUAGUGCCGUCGUUGGUAUUGGCCAGCUGUUGGUUGUACGUGAUUCUGGGACNGGCUAAAAUUAAUACCGGUCGGCGA